rnacentral:rRNA from 1 species
CACGAAGCUGGAAUCGCUAGUAAUCGCGGAUCAGCACGCCGCGGUGAAUACGUUCCCUGGCCUUGUACACACCGCCCGUCAAGCCAUGGAAGCCGGGAGUGCCUGAAGUGCGUGAGCGCAAGCAGCGCCCUAAGGUAAAACCGGUGACUGGGGCUAAGUCGUAACAAGGUACC